rnacentral:pre_miRNA from 1 species
GGCGGAGGUGUGAUAUGGUGUGAUAUGGUGUGAUAUGAAUGCCUAUGCGGGCGGUGGCACCCGCCGUCGGAGUAAC